AGAAAGGAAUAAAUUAAAAAACAGCCUAUGGAAAAUAUAGAGAGGGAUUGAGGAGGGGGGAUUCGAGCGCCUCUUGUUCGAUUUCUUGCCCUCCCCCGCCUCCGUCCUCUCGAUAUCACCUUCCAGCCCUCGGAUCUCCCACCAGAAUCUUAAAUCUGGAUCCCUAUAUUCGCCCAUAUAUGUUGUUUUGGAUCAAAAUCGGAUUUUUCUCGAUGGAAGAACGAUUCCGUGGGGUAACGCCUAAAAUCUUUUGCUCCGCUCUUCCCACUUUUCAGAUCCGAAAUUUGAAUCAGGUUUCAGUUUGAGCUUGAUUUUUAUCGGAGCUCGUGCGGAAUUAGCUUCAGAAAAGAUUUUGUAGAGAGAAAAAGCUUCCAUCAGAACAUUGGGUAUAACCUGGGAAAAAAUGGGUGUGAUGGGUAAUGGCAAAGAAUCAAGGAAAAUGGUGUUUGUGACAGUGGGAACCACAUGCUUUGAUGCUCUUGUCAAGGCAGUAGACUCUCAGCAGGUCAAAGAUGAGUUAUUGAGAAAGGGAUACACUGAUCUCCUCAUUCAAAUGGGCCGUGGGACAUAUGUACCCUCCAAGUUUUCUGGAGAAGAUGGAUCUCUAGCUGUGGAUUAUUUCACUUUCUCACCGAGCAUUGCCGACUACCUUAGAUCAGCAUCUCUUAUCAUCAGCCACGCAGGUAAUAUUUUGUUGUAAUCUAUAUCGUGGAAAAUUUUUCCUUGUACAGAUACAAGGCACACACUAUUGAAUUUAAUGAAUGUUCUUGGCAACUAAUCUAUUAGGAAUGUAUAUGGUCCGCACAAACCAUGACAAGACUUUAAGGGGAAGAUUUUCUAUUGAAAUGAUUCACUGCCUUUGAUUUUAUAAAGUAACAAGAUCACAAGGGUCCAGGCUAAAGAACAAGAGACUGGAAGUAUAUUCUAGAUACUUGUCGGAUUCUUCAUCAUUCUCUCCUUUUUGCUGUUAAAGGACUUGUGGAGACAAAAUAGUUGGAUAAAACGCAUAAGAAGUGAAUGAUGAAAAUGGUGAUGUGAGUCUAACAAAAGCUAUUUUUUGUUAGGGUGCAAUGUAGUAGGUCUUAUUCUAAUAUCAUAUUAUGGGAUGCUAUGACAGUCGUAUAUAAUAAACAGGCAGAACCUUAUAAAAUGCUAUAUAUAUAAUUUUGUUGAAUGUAGCAUGAUAUAUUAUAUACUGAUUUCUACAUGGCUCCAUAUUCUAUUUUUACCUCUUCCAUAUCAAAAACUCCGCACACAUGCUUCCUCAUAAGACAACUGUGUACCAUCCUUGAUCUCCUAAAUAAAAUAUUUAGCUGAUUACUUGCUUUGAUCUCUUUUCUAUCAAACUUCUUUCUCAAUGGUUCCACUCAUUACCUCCCAACUUCAUCAGAUAAGAAGAGGAGCACCUGUUUACCAAUAGUUACAGCAGACUAUGUAGUUUGGUGGAUGUUGUUGCCAAGGCUUCAAAUGAGAGAGAGGUUUAAAUUUAAGCAUGCUCUAUGGAAAUUAGAAAAUUUUGUAUGUACAAUUUUUUUUCCGUUAAUGAUCAAAUUCUUAGAGAUCAUCAAUAUUCUAGGUUUGGUCGUAAUCUCAUUUAACAGGUAUAAGAGCAGAUUCCAAUAUGUUGGAUUGAAAUAUUGCAGGCAAAAAAUAGGAAAAAAGAUGGUUGAUAGUGUGGUAUACAGCUGUGUUUCAGUCAUACUCAUUUAUUGACUUCUGUAGUUUAAGCGAUAACUGCAUAUUCAGAAGUUAUGUUUUCGCUGGUGAUCCAUGGUUCAUUCAAGAACAGAGCAGGGCCGGCCUGACCGUUAGGCGACCUAGGCGGUCGCCUAAGGCCUUGGCCCAAAAAAAGGCCUCAGCCCAUCGCUGAGAAUGGUUGUCAACUGUAGCCUGCCCUAAUCCCAUUGCCAUUGAUGCCAUGGCUGUAAAGCUGGUAAGGUAAGGCGUAAACCUAUGAACCUAUCACCUAUGGCAUUCGGCCAUGGGCUAUUCCUCUUGUCCUUGACGUCUCCUUGCCUCUUUGUCCUAAUUCCAACUUCCUAGUUCCCAAAUCCCAGCAUGGCUAUUCCUCUUUCCUCCUCAGACCUCAUUUCCUUCUAGCUUCUUCAUUCUUCAAGCUUCCUAGCUCUUUGAUUCCUUCAUUCUGGGGGUGUGCCGGCGUGGGAGGGUGGAUGGGGGCCAGUUCUUGUCGGUGAGCUUGUCGGUUAAGGGAGGAGAGGGGCUCGUGCGGGAGUUGGAGGGGUUUUUGGGGCAGAAUGGGGUGGGGAGUUCGGAGGAGCCGGCAUUGGAGGGGAACGAGGUGGAUGAGGUGAUGGUAAAGCGGUAAAGGAGGUGGAGAAAAAGGAGGUCAGAACGCAAGGGCCGGAGCUGGCGCCAUGAACACCACCAGUCCACCAAGCAUCUGUGGGUGGGGGCUGUGGCCGCAAUGGUUUCAAGGGUCCGGGAGCAUCUUUGAGACACUGCGAUUGGGUAAGCCUCUAAUUGUGGUCGUCAAUGAGGAUUUGAUGGACAACCACCAAAGUGAGCUUGCAGAGGAACUGGCAGAUAGGAAGCACCUAUUCUGUGCCCGCCCGCAGACACUCCAUCAGACCAUCAAAGUCAUGGAUCUGGAGUCCCUUAUUCCUUACCCACCAGGAGAUGCUGCGCCAGUUGCUAAUCUAUUCAACAAUUUUCUUGGAUUCCCAGCUGAUUGAUCUGUCUAUCAAAUUGAUCCUUGAAGAAUGUUCAUGGGAUCGUUGGUCUUGUUGGCAGCCAAAUUUUGAACCCUGUUCAUACUACGAAAACCCUGUUGGAAAUGGCUCCAGUAUGAUCAUAUUAGCAUUCUCUCUGCUUGAAUACUCUUUUCAGAUUCUGAAGAUUAAUAAUGUAAUCACCAAUUGUGAUUCAAAAUAUACUACUGUUUUGUAAAUCCCUUAUUUAUGGUGGGAGAAGAUUGAAUGCCGUUCAUUGUUUUUAUGCAAUUAAAUUCAAUCCAUCCAUUUCUUAUCAAA